rnacentral:rRNA from 1 species
UACGAAGGGUGCAAGCGUUACUCGGAAUUACUGGGCGUAAAGCGUGCGUAGGUGGUCCGAUAAGUCCGCUGUGAAAAGUCGGGGGCUCAACCCUCGGAUGCCGGUGGAUACUGUCAGGCUUGAGUACGGAAGAGGCGAGUGGAAUUCCGAGUGUAGAGGUGAAAUUCGUAGAUAUUCGGAAGAACACCAGUGGCGAAGGCGACUCACUGGACACGAUUGACGCUGAGGUGCGAAAGCGUGGGGAGCAAACAGG